rnacentral:misc_RNA from 1 species
GAUGAAGAACGCAGCGAAAUGCGAUAAGUAGUGUGAAUUGCAGAAUUCAGUGAAUCAUCGAAUCUUUGAACGCACAUUGCGCCCCUUGGUAUUCCAUGGGGCAUGCCUGUUCGAGCGUCAUUUGUACCUUCAAGCUUUGCUUGGUGUUGGGUGUUUGUCCCGAGGGACUCGCCUUAAAGUAAUUGGCAGCCAGUGUUUGGUUUUGAAGCGCAGCACAAGUCGCGAUUCAAGGCUACACGCCCGCUUCCACAAGCCUUUUUUCACUUUUGACCUCGGAUCAGGUAGGGAUACCCGCUGAACUUAAGCAUAUCAAAAGCGGAGGA